ensembl:rRNA 5S_rRNA 5S ribosomal RNA
AUCCAAGGCCGUGCUACCCUGAACAAGACUGAUCCCAUCUGUUCUUUGAAAUUAAGCAAAGUCAGGCCUGGUUAGUACUUGGUUGGGAGACCACCUAGGAAGACUAAGUGCUGUAGGUA